AAAAGAAAAGGGAAUUAGGUUUAGAAUGUGACCCUUGAGCUUUCUACGUUCAAUCUCCUUCCUUGAAACGAACGUGAAGCAACGACGGUGCCGAAGAUUCUUUGGCCCGAUCGACUCUCGGAGAGCCACCGUAAACUCAAUCUCUCGCUCAUCUCUUCUUCAAUCGUGAGUGACGAUGCCUCUCCUCCGAUUUGUUCUCGUCUUCCCUCGCUCAGCUCUCUUUGUUCUCGAUUCUCUGUAUGUCUUCAGAUUCGUCGUGGUUGAAGAGUGAUGAUAUUGUUGCUUGACGAAGCCGCAGUGAUGCCGAAGCUAUACGAAAGUGAGAUUGUUGCGUUCUUAUCUUCUGCAGAUUGGUGGAAUUGGAGAAGCUUGCAACGAAGGUUGGUGACUGUCUCUUUGCGUCAAAUUGAAGAUAAUGGAAUUCGUGGAUUAUCGAUGGAGAGUGGUGAUUGAAGAUUGGUUAUGCUGGAUCGAGUAUUGUUGGAAGAUUGAAGAGAGUUUGUUCCAUGGAUUCAUGAAGAAUAAGUGGAGAGAUUGAAGCUGGAUUUCGGUACUGAGUUUGAAGCUGUUUGGGAUUCGGGGCUGCACGGUUGAUGAGUUGUUGGCUGAGACAUAGGUUUUCUUUUAUGACAGAAUUUUCCCCUUGAUUGCAGGCCUGGCAUUGGUGUGGUUUCGACAUAUGGUUAGCAUCAAUUUUGGAACAAGGUCUAUCAAAGUGAAAAGCAUCAUUGCUUGAACAACAAGAAAUGCCUAUCCACAUGGCACAAAUAAAACGGUUAUGAAGAAAUGGAGAAAGAAAAGGAUAUGUUUUAGGAAGUGCUGUAUUUCUCCCGUGUAAUUUUCUUUGUACUUGCAAUGAAUCAGACAUGUGUUUCAAAUGCAUUGGAUUUGAGUGUAACUUGUAAUACUUUAGCUUGUAAUGACUUAUUCCCAGUGAAGAACUUUUUUCUCCAUUUUCAAAUUUGCAUCUUGAUUGAAUGAACUACAAGAUAUGAUGAGAAAUAAUCGAAAACAUCUAGAAGUUUAGUCAAAAGUCAACUUUCUAUGUUUGACUUUGACUAAAAGUCAAAGUUUAAAUUAUUUCCUUUCAAUUUGAAAUGAUUCUCAAGACACUUUAUCUCACCUCAAACUUUUGCGCAAAAUCCAAACCCAUAUAAUGAUCAUAACAAAAUCCUGAAGUCCACUGGUAAACCCAAACACACAGGCCCAAGAAACAUAAUCCUUUGAUUAGACACCAUACAUCGUUUUGCCCUUGAUGGGAAGAUAAAUAAGCCUUUGUGCCAAGUCUCGUUCGUGCGAGACCCCAUUUUACUCCAUGAUUCUUGAU